rnacentral:lncRNA from 1 species
UUUAUUGGCUCCCUGUCUUUGCACUCUUCUGAAUUUUAGAUUAUUGGUUCCAUGUCUUUGCACUCUGCAUAGCGGUAGCCAUACCUCUUAGGUGGAGCUCAUUUCUUUUACUUCAUUGAUUGAUCAUGACAUAUAAAGAUAUAAUUCAUUCUGGUCCAUGCGGUGUUAGUUUGUAGUAGGAAAAUGGUAUAAAAGGUUGCAGUUGGUUCAUUGUGAACUCGUACCAUGCAUUGGAACAGCGUUUCUAUCUAUGUCUCAUCUCAAUUUGUACAUGAAAAAUCUAGGGGAGAUCAAUGAGCACCAUGCAUGUUCCUUCUUACUUACUAUGUAAUAGGAUUAGGAGACAUGGGAAAUAUGGUAACAUGCUUAUGAAUUGAUCGAUGAGCAGAAUGUCUCGGUAAGACACCUUUUGUCCUGAGAUAUAAUUCAUUCCGAUCCAUGCGAUGUUAGUUUAUAGUAGAAAAAUGGUAUAAAAGGUUGCAGCUGGUUCAUUGUGAACUCGUAUCAUGCACUGGGAUGUUGUUCCUAUCUAUGUCUCAUCUCAAUUUGUACAUGAAAAUCUA